AUUGAACGCUGGCGGCAGGCUUAACACAUGCAAGUCGAGCGGUAGCACAGGGGAGCUUGCUCCCUGGGUGACGAGCGGCGGACGGGUGAGUAAUGUCUGGGAAACUGCCUGAUGGAGGGGGAUAACUACUGGAAACGGUAGCUAAUACCGCAUAACGUCGCAAGACCAAAGAGGGGGACCUUCGGGCCUCUUGCCAUCAGAUGUGCCAGAUGGGAUUAGCUAGUAGGUGGGGUAAUGGCUCACCUAGGCGACGAUCCCUAGCUGGUCUGAGAGGAUGACCAGCCACACUGGAACUGAGACACGGUCCAGACUCCUACGGGAGGCAGCAGUGGGGAAUAUUGCACAAUGGGCGCAAGCCUGAUGCAGCCAUGCCGCGUGUGUGAAGAAGGCCUUCGGGUUGUAAAGCACUUUCAGCGAGGAGGAAGGUGGUGAGCUUAAUACGCUCAUCAAUUGACGUUACUCGCAGAAGAAGCACCGGCUAACUCCGUG
rnacentral:rRNA from 1 species